GGAGAACCAAGAAUCAGCAGAAAAUGACCAUAAACUUGAUCCUGGUAAUCAUUCAGAGAUGAAUCUUAGUUCUUUACUGUGGUUACCUGCCUCAGAAGCAUCUGGACAACAUCGUUGGAGAUGCUUUCAGAUUCUGCUUUCAAGUGUUGGAUCUUUGCAAACGUUUCUUGAUCAAGACGUUUGACAUUAGCACCCGAAUCACC
rnacentral:misc_RNA from 1 species